UCCUGAUGACAAAAAAUGACAUAGUCUAAUAAAGCUUUACUCACACCCAAGCUGAGCGGUACUUGAGAAUCUAAUUCGGCACAACGAUUGCUAAUUGUAGUUCUUUCAUUGUCUUUCAAUAUUAGCAAUUGUCCGUCCAAGGUUUUCUGUUGUCGAGUAGUUUUUUUAACAGAUAAUUGUAAUGAUCUGGUACAGAUCAUCUUAACUUGGUUCGUAUUUCGAAACGCCAAUUUGACCUGAGCAAGGACCUCUUUUUCACCGCAUAUCUAACAGGUUAGGCUAACGUAAACAUUAAUUUACUGCACUUACUUUUGGAUCAUGAAUGAAGGCUCCACCUUUUGUAUUUGGGGGGAGUAUUCCUGUUGUUGCGUACUUUAAGCAUUCAAUUAUUGUCUUUUAGAUUAACAUUUGUUUAAAUAUGAAAUUAGGCAAUGUAACAUACAGUCUUUCCAGACCCAUUUUGUCCUACUAUUAGCGUUAAUGGGGAGAAAAAUUGAAUGCUUUCUCGUGAACGAUUGUCAAACGACCGUAUGCCCAUGAUGGACAUUCUGUCAAUGCACGACAUUUUAAAUUACUUAAACUGAACACACUUUCUUUAAUUUUAAGGAUUUACAACUGUAUAG